rnacentral:lncRNA from 1 species
AUUUCUUGGGCCGCUCCCGCGGCAUAUGGAGGUUCCCAGGCUAGGGGUCGAAUUGGAGCUGUGGCUGCUGGCCUACGCCAGAGCCACAGCAACGCAGGAUCUGGGCCGCAUCUGCGACCUACAUCACAGCUCACGGCAACGCCGGAUCAUUAACCCACUAAGCUAGGGCAGGGAUCGAACCCGCAACCUCAUGGUUCCUAGUCGGAUUCGUUAACCACUGCGCCACGAUGGGAACUCCUACUUUCCAUUUUUAUAUUAAGAAAUUCUAGGAGUUCUCAGCAGAUUAAGAACCCAACAUAGUGUCCAUGAGGAUGCAAGUUGGAUCCCUGGCUUCACUCAGUGCAUUAAGGAUCUGGUGUUGCCAGAAGCUGAAGCAUAGGUCGAAGAUGCAGCUCGGAUCUGGUAUUGCCAUGUGCUUUGACCCUAGCCUGAGAACUUCCACAUACUUCCACAGGUGCAGCCAUAAAAAGAAAAAAAAUUCUCACAUAGUCUAUGUUUUUAUCUAAGGGGUGUGAAUAAAGUUCAAAGGCAGCACUGUUCGACAGAAUUUUCUGCAAUGAAAGAAAUGCUCUGUAGUUGUGCUGUCCAACACAGUAGUCACCAGCCACACAUGAAUAUUAGGUGUGAGCACUUAGGUGUGAUUAGUGCAAUUGUUGAACUGAAUUCUUAAUUUAAUUUGAUUCUAGUUACAUAAUUUAACUUAAAAUUUAAAUGAACAAAUGUAGCUUGUGGCAUAACAUUAAAAUAGUCAAAAUUGAUCCUCCAGGCACAUCUUGGCCUGUCAUUCUAUUGGCAGAGACGGUAUAUCAUGUGAUUCAUUUGAGAAAAAAAAAAAAAAAAAAAAAAGUCUCCCAACUAAAUCCAACUAAAUCUACCUAAAAUCUGAGAUGAUGCUGAAGUUUCAAAAAAGAUUAUUUUGUAUUAAAAAUUCCUAUAAAUAUGGCGAGGUUCUCACAGAAUUCUAGUUGAAGACUGCUUUUAUACCAAAACAUUAAUUGUCAUAAAACACUUUCUUCAGCAUUAAAAAAUAAAUCCUCACCUCCCAGUAGUUAGACUGAGAUCAGACUAAAAAUUUACUGUCUGAAAAUGAAGGUAUUUCUCUCAUCAGCUAGAACAUUAUAAUUGUUCUGGGCAAUAUUUUAAAAGAAAGGUGUUCUGAAACUGAUUCAGAAGAUGAUAGUCAGAAUGAAUAAGGGUCUAUAAAGAUUCAUAUCAGAGAACAUGGGGUUAUUAGCCAAGAAAAGGAAAAGCGUAGAGCUUGUAUGGGUGCUGUCUUCAAGCAAGUGAAUGCUUGUCAUCUAGAAAAAGGACUCAUGUUACUCUGCUCUAUUCCAUAGCACAGACCCAAGAUCAUAAGGAAGAAUUUAAAGAGAGACGAGGUGAUGAUAGCACUAUUCACAAGAGCCAAGACAUGGAAACAACCUAAAUGUCCAUCAACAGAUGAAUUCAUUAAGAUGUGGUACAUACACACAAUGGAAUACUACUCAGUCGUAAGAAAGGACAAAAUAAUGCCAUUUGCAGCAACAUGGAUGCAACUAGAGAUUCUCAUACUAAGUGAAGUAAAUCAAAAAGGGAAAGACAAAUACCAUAUGAUGUCACUUAUAUGUGGAAUCUAAAAUAUGGCACAAAUGAACUUAUCUACAGAACAGAAACAGACUCACAGACAUAGAGAUAAGACAUAUGGUUGCCAAGGUGGAGGGGGAGGGAGUGGAAUGGACUGGGAAUUUGGAGUUAGUAGGUGCGAACUAUUAAACUUAGAAUGGAUAAGUAAUGAGGUCCUACUGUAUGGUACAGGGAACUAUAUAUCCAGUCUAUAUGAAUAGAAAAAAAAUUUUUUAAGAAUUUACAUAAAUGUAUAACUGAGUCACUUUGCUACACAGCAGAAAUUGUAAUGAACUAAGUUUAUAGAACUAAAAAUUAUACUAUAAUUUAAUUUUAAGAUGGAACAAUUCAGGGGAAAUAUUAAAAAAUAGACCAAAAUGAACAAGCCAUUUGGGAAAAAAAUAGAGACUCGGUGGCCCCAGUAUCAGCAAGAGCAAGAAGGAAAUGGAGCUAUUCAGCAAGGGAAUUUGCUAUUUAUAAAGUGAUGCACUCUGGCUACUAAUUAUGUUCAGACAGAGACUCUGGAAAACCUAAAAGUCUAACAUUUAAAAUUAUAGUUAACAUAGAGUCCAUACAUCUCAAUAGAACUUACUGAGAAGUUGUCACAGUAGUCCUAGGAAUGCAAAGGCCUAGGUUAGCCAUUCCUUUUUGCUUAAAAAAAAAAUGAGGAUGUUUAGUGGAUAUUUGUAUAUUAUUACCAUAAAAUUUAAGUUACAUCUACAUCUAUUCUAUGUUUUGUCAUCAAAAUUUCAAGUUCUAUUUAAAUAUGUGUCCUAAAAAGAGCAAAGAGCUGUUCUAUUAGAUUAUGUGAUUUGAUUUAACAGUUCUGAGGACUAUUAAUAUGUAACUGUGAGCCUAUAUAUCAGUUAUAAGAUAUAUUCAUUGUAGUACAUAGAAAAUUCAGUGUGUUCUAGUAAGUUGUAAUUUAUGUUUUUAUAGGAGGCAGAGUUCGCUUACCAACCUUGUGGAAAUUAGCCCAACUAAGACAUCACUAAAAUAUUUCUAGUUAACUCGACCUAUAUAAUGUACUAAGUAAAUUUAGAAUGAGGAACAUAUCUAAAAGCACUUCUCAUUGUAAAUAUUAUUUUUCAAAUAAGACAAAAACUGUUCUAACAGAUUAAGAUGCAGUGCAUACACUCCAUUUUUUUUUCCAAAAUCUUAUUUUUUUCACAUUGUUGUUAGAAAUUUUCUCUUCUCUCUUUUCUAUUUAUUUAAUUCCCACCUAUAAUUCAAGGCCCUGUGAAACUCCCUUCUUUACCAUUAAGCCUUCCAAGAUUGCUCAGCCCAAGAUGAAGCCUUAGUCUUUUGAAUUUACACUAUGGCCCAUAGCAGCCAUCCAAGACAAUGCAGUAACAAAGCCAGAUUCUUAACCCACUGCACUACAAGGGAUUUCCUCCUUGUGUUUAUUUUCUAGUUGCCUCUGUUGGUUUAUUCAUAUUCCAGCAUGAUGUCUUGUAUAAAGAGGGACAUAAUAAAUGAUGAUUAGUUGAUGGAAAAGAGUUGGAAAAUCCACUAAUGGUGGAAUUGGCCAAACUAGGAUAAAUUUCUAUCCCAGUUAUAACAAAACCUAGUGGCUCAAAUAACCAUUUUAUUUUGUCCAAAGAUUCUCUUGGUCAGGAAUUUGGAAAGAGCACAGGGAGGCUGGCUUUUCCAUGCUCCAUGGUGUUGAAGGUCUCAGCUGCCAGUCUCUGAGGCUGGCAGUGACUCAAUGACUGGGGACUAGAAUCAUUUGAAGACUUGUUCAGUCGCAUGUCUGGUGUCUGGGUGGGAAUAACUCAAAGAUUAGGCCUGCCAACCAGAGUACCUAUCUGUGGCUUCUUCAUGUGGCUUGGGUCCUUCACAGUAUGGCAGCCUCAGGGGAGGCAGGGUUCCCAUCAUUAGCAUUCUGGCCAACCAUGUGAAAGCUAUAUUGCUGUUCCUGAUCUAGACUCUGAAGUUACAUAGUGCCCCUUCCUCCACACUCUAUUUGGAGUAAAACUCUCACAAAACCCAUUCAGAAUCAAGGCGAGAAAACAUAGACCCCAUCCUUGGGAGGAGUGGCAAGGUCACAUUGUCAAAGAGCAAAUUGGAUGGGAAAUAAUGUUAUGGCCAUUUUGGAAAGUAUAAUCUACAAUUCUUAAAUUCUUUGCAAAAUGCAAUUUCUGAGCCUCUUCCAGGCUAUAAGGGACUAUGCAGUAUUUGGAUAUGCUCAAUCUGUGAUCAAAUGCUCUAGAUCUAUGGAGUCUACCUCAAGAUACAACUAGUUGGUAACAACAGCAAUAAUAGACACCAUUUAUCGACAUAUAUACUAUUAAAUACUUACUAUGUGUCUGAUGAGCAUUAUCUAAUUCUGCUUUUAAAACAACAAAAAGAGUUUACUAUUACCCCAUUUUAACACCAAGAAAAUUGGGGGGCAAAAGUCAAGUAACUUGCCCAAGAUCUGAUAUUAGCCAGAUACGACAUCUUAACCCUGAGGCUAUACAGCCUCUUUGUAGGGAAUUGUUCUUAUAAAAGUUCAGAGCCUUUUAACCUUGCAGCUCUUUGUAAAUACUUAAGUCUGUCUGAGGAGUGUCACUUUUACCACUGAAUCCUCCUGCAGCCUGCUAUAUUGUUCCUGGUUUUGUGUAGCUUGCAAAAACCUUUCUGGAAACUUUGUCAAAUUGUUUCUCAGUUUUUUUCUCUAACCACAACUUGGUCAUAAUUGCUCCUGGCAUCUGUUUUCAUCAGCUCAGAACAUCAUUUCUUCCCUUGUUCUUGCCUGUAAUAGCAGUGGCAAAGCAACAAGUAAGAACAAAUCCACAGGAGGCAACUAAUAUCUCCUAAUAGCAUCUUUUGUUCCUAUGUUUGAAUCAUACUGUACGGCUCAUACCCAGCUCUGAAGUAAGAAUCUUUUUGCAUGUUUUUUUAAAAAAGAUUUACCUGAGUGCCUGAGUGAUGAUUUUCUCUGAUUUAUGGGACAGAAGAAGGUUCCUGCUGCUGCCAGAAUUUUCCCAUCUAGUUAAACACAGAUUAGUGAAACCUGAGAUACCCCAAGGACUAAUUAAAGAGAAACUGCCAAACCAUUGGAAAAUAGAAUUUCCACAUAGAUUUCCCUGUGGCUAUGCUUAUCAAUUUGUAGGAAACCAAGAACAAAUAUUCCAAAUAGUGAUUAAUGGUCUGAAUGAAAAUUUCACACACGCACAAAGAACCCAUUUAAUAAACUAAUGAUGGAAAGUACAAUUGUGGAUAAGCUGCUACACAUUUCUCUCCUUGGAGGUUCAAAUGCAGCAGUGAAACUAAGCAGGUACUAGAAUGAAUUGAUUUUUUUUUUCCUGAAAAGAAAUCCUGUUUCAUCUCUAUUUUCUAAACUCUUUUUUGUCUUGUCAGGCAUCUGUCUCUUGUAUUGCACAAGAAUAGAAAGCCACAAACUGCUUUGAAAGGUGCUAAUAUUCACCAUUCAAUUAGUAUCUCCUAGACUAUUUAAUUGGAACUGGCCUUUUUGGUUUAGCAUUAGCAAGGGAACAGAGAACUGCAUUUCCUUUAGGUUGAGUACUGGGGAAUAUGUGUUCUGAACAUCAAUUUAAAGGCCAAGAAACAGGAAAAAUGUGUCAGGUAACAUAACCCCUGCUGGGCUUCCAGAAACCAAUUACUGAAGCCAUCUUGGAUAGCUGUGGAGGGGAACACAAAGAGAUUUUAGCAGGUACUGGUUCCUGGGUAGAUUCUAAACAUUCCAUUCUAAGGAAAUGUAUAGAUAUAUCAAAGUAGAAGAUGCACAUCUGGAACAUUCAGAACAUAACUGAGAUGGAAAAAGAAUGAAAGACAACACUGCCUGCAACAGCCAUUGAACUACAGCAACCCAUGAAAUGGAAGAAUGGAUAAAAAAGCAAUAGGAAUCAAUGAGAUUAUAUAUAAAAUAAUUAUUUCAAGUUUCUUAGAAUUAUUGAAUACUAAGGGCUAAAAGGAAUCUUAAAAUAAUAUUCUCCUUAACUUUCUUAUUUUAUGCUGUAUUUUGUUUGAUAAGGGAGAAGUAGAGAAAAAAGUGGAUAAUGAAUAGUAAAAGUAGUGUUAGCUACAGGUCUCUUAACCUCUGGACAAUGACCUUUCAUAUCAUACUUCUUAGAAUGCAUAUUUUGUAGAGUAGCUUAUAGUAUGGUCAUAUACAUCAUUUCGUUGUAUUGUCACAUGAUGUAAGAUGUCAGAAGAGGCACCAGUGCACUUCAAAGAUGAUGCAUUUACUUAAAUACAAUUAGAUAUAGAAAGUUUAGUAUACUAAUAUUAUCUGCAUAGGUAAUAAUUCAAACAACUCAAACUCUAAGCCUCCAGCUUUCUGGUCCUAUGUUCUUUCUACUGGCUUGGAUUUCCCAGGUAAAUAGAAAUACUUAAAACUUUUAACAUUCAUGUAAUAUCUACACUGGAGAUUAAAUGACUGUGCCCACUGAAUAUGACCAAGUACAAAUACUUAUGACACUAAAUUCUAUUCAGUGAUACCUGGGAAUAAUAUACUCCUAUAACAAAUUCCUAGUAAAGAAAGCCAUGAUAGAAAACAAUCAAACAAACCAAAAACCCAGAAGCAAUGAGCACACAGUGGCAAGUUUUUACAGGUGGCAAGAUUUAAAAGCAAUCAACCAACCAACAACUUAAUUUUUUUUGUGCAUAAGAAAUGUAUAGUGAUUCAAGCAAGGAAAAGGCAGUUCCAUUCAUCUUCAGCCACCGCAAUUUUUCCAACAAUUCUCUUCAUCCCUUUCUCUUAUCAGAAAAGGAAAAGCUUCAUUCAUUCAUUCAGUCAGUCAGUCAGUCAUUCAUCUGUUCAUCUGAUCAUCCAUUUACAGCUAUUUGUUGAGCAUCUAUUCCAUGAUAGCACCAUGCAAGGUGU